rnacentral:rRNA from 1 species
GGGCCCGCACAAGCGGAGGAACAUGUGGUUUAAUUCGAUGAUACGCGAGGAACCUUACCCGGGCUUGAAAUGCAGAGGAAUAUAGGAGAGACCCUAUAGUCAGCAAUGACCUCUGUGUAGGUGCUGCAUGGUUGUCGUCAGCUCGUGCCGUGAGGUGUCGGCUUAAGUGCCAUAACGAGCGCAACCCUUAUCAUUAGUUACUAUCAGGUUAUGCUGAGGACUCUAAUGAGACUGCCGUCGUAAGAUGUGAGGAAGGUGGGGAUGACGUCAAAUCAGCACGGCCCUUACGUCCGGGGCUACACACGUGUUACAAUGGGGAGUACAGAAGGUUGCUACACAGUGAUGUGAUGCUAAUCCCAAAAGCUCCUCUCAGUUCGGAUCGAAGUCUGCAACCCGACUUCGUGAAGCUGGAUUCGCUAGUAAUCGCGCAUCAGCCAUGGCG